UACGAAGGGGGCUAGCGUUGCUCGGAAUCACUGGGCGUAAAGGGUGCGUAGGCGGGUCUUUAAGUCAGGGGUGAAAUCCUGGAGCUCAACUCCAGAACUGCCUUUGAUACUGAGGAUCUUGAGUUCGGGAGAGGUGAGUGGAACUGCGAGUGUAGAGGUGAAAUUCGUAGAUAUUCGGCGGAAACACCAGUGGCGAAGGCGACUCACUGGCCCGAUACUGACGCUGAGGCGGCGAAAAGCGUGGGGGAGCAAACAGG
rnacentral:rRNA from 1 species